AGUGAACGCUGGCGGUAGGCCUAACACAUGCAAGUCGAACGGCAGCACAGUAAGAGCUUGCUCUUACGGGUGGCGAGUGGCGGACGGGUGAGGAAUACAUCGGAAUCUACUUUUUCGUGGGGGAUAACGUAGGGAAACUUACGCUAAUACCGCAUACGACCUACGGGUGAAAGCAGGGGAUCUUCGGACCUUGCGCGAUUGAAUGAGCCGAUGUCGGAUUAGCUAGUUGGCGGGGUAAAGGCCCACCAAGGCGACGAUCCGUAGCUGGUCUGAGAGGAUGAUCAGCCACACUGGAACUGAGACACGGUCCAGACGACUAAGGGAGGGAGCAGUGGGGAAUAUUGGACAAUGGGCGCAAACCUGAUCCAGCCAUACCGCGUGGGUGAAGAAGGCCUUCGGGUUGUAAAGCCCUUUUGUUGGGAAAGAAAAGCAGCAGGUUAAUACCCCGCUGUUCUGACGGUACCCAAAGAAUAAGCACCGGCUAACUUCGUG
rnacentral:rRNA from 1 species